rnacentral:lncRNA from 1 species
CCUUCCGCUCUUUGGAUCUUCCUCCCCCACUUUCCAUUGAGUCCCCGUUAUGCAAAUGGUGAACGCUUGAAACACGAACUUCAAAUCUCUGCCUUCUCUGAUUGUAUCGUCACCCUCUAGGUAAGGUGUGAGGGUGACCCCGAAACCUAUUGUUAAGAAUUCAAUAUAUCAUAAUCUAUCUGCUUAAAUAGUGAGUGAAGUGUAGGUACACAUUUAAUAGUUGUAUAUCAACACUCUAACAGAUUUAAUACAUACCUAUUUCUUGUGAAAGAAGUGGUACUUGCCCAACGUAAAAUGGGCACUGAUCGCCUUUUCGGGUAAUUAAGGUAAGAUUGCCAGCAACAUCGGUGAUGGCAGGCUUGAUGAAAUACUCGACAUCGCGCUGCAGAGGUCGGCCUUCGGUGUCGAGCACCGGAGGACC